rnacentral:rRNA from 1 species
UGGGGAAUAUUGCGCAAUGGGGGGAACCCUGACGCAGCCAUGCCGCGUGAAUGAAGAAGGCCUUCGGGUUGUAAAGUUCUUUCGGUAUUGAGGAAGGUUGAUGUGUUAAUAGCACAUCAAAUUGACGUUAAAUACAGAAGAAGCACCGGCUAACUCCGUGCCAGCAGCCGCGGUAAUACGGAGGGUGCGAACGUUAAUCGGAAUAACUGGGCGUAAAGGGCACGCAGGCGGUUAUUUAAGUGAGGUGUGAAAGCCCCGGGCUUAACCUGGGAAUUGCAUUUCAGACUGGGUAACUAGAGUACUUUAGGGAGGGGUAGAAUUCCACGCGUAGCGGUGAAAUGCGUAGAGAUGUGGAGGAAUACCGAAGGCGAAGGCAGCCCCUUGGGAAUGUACUGACGCUCAUGUGCGAAAGCGUGGGGAGCAAACAGGAUUAGAUACCCUGGUAGUCCACGCUGUAAACGCUGUCGAUUUGGGGGUUGGGGUUUAACUCUGGCGCCCGUAGCUAACGUGAUAAAUCGACCGCCUGGGGAGUACGGCCGCAAGGUUA